rnacentral:ncRNA from 1 species
UCGGUUCAGGUGCUGGCAUUUAAUACCAGAUAAUAGGGAAGUACGGUGAGAAUCCGUCGCAGCCCCGCUACUGUAAUCAACAGGGUUUGAGAUCCCAUUUGACUCAAGUCCAUAUGCCUGUGUUCGAUAUGCCACUAUUCCUAAUCUGGAGUGGGAAGGUGAAUACAGGUCGUUGCUAGUCAGGAAACCUGCCUGAACUAAUU